AACCGCUUCUAUGUGACUUUUACCGAUGACUAUAGUAGAUAUGGGUAUAUCUACUUAAUCAAGCAAAAGUCAGACACCUUUGAAAAGUUCAAAGAGUUCAAGAAUGAAGUGGAGAAUCAAUUGGGCAGGAAAAUCAAGAUGCUUCGAUCCGAUCGAGGAGGAGAGUACCUAAGUCUUGAAUUCCACGAUUAUCUCAAGGAGUGUGGAAUAGUUUCACAAUUGACGCCUCCUAGGACACCGCAGUUGAAUGGUGUGGCAGAAAGGCGUAAUCGAACCUUAUUGGAUAUGGUUCGCUCUAUGAUGAGUCGUGCUUCACUACCAAUCUCUUUUUGGGGGUAUGCCUUAGAGACUGCCGCCCAUAUCCUUAACCGAGUCCCUACUAAGAAGGUUGCCAAAACACCUCACGAGAUGUGGACAGGGAAAGCUCCCUCGUUGGCACAUAUCAAGGUUUGGGGUUGCGAGGCUUUCGUAAGACGAGAUACUCACGACAAGCUUGAACCUCGAAGUGAGCGAUGUAUUUUCAUCGGCUACCCGCAGACAUCCUUUGGAUAUCUCUUCUAUAGACCGAAGGACAAUGUUGUCUUCGUUGCGAGGAGAGGAGUUUUCCGAGAGCGAGAACUCAUAAGCCAAGGAGACAGUGGGAGGCAAAUCGAACUUGAAGAGAUUCAAGAGUCGAUAGAUGAAGGAACCUCUACCGCUGGCACUCAACCCGAGGAGGAAACUCCGGUUGAACCGAUUGACGAAUCCUUACCUCUUAGACGUUCCGAUAGAGUUAGAGUUCAUCCCCAGUUUUAUGGCUUUCAUAUUACUACCGAAGGGGACACGUAUAUUAGUGAUGGUACACUAGUAAAUCUUGAUGAACCUAAUAGCUAUAAGGAAGCCAUGGCAGGCCCGGAGUCUGCAAAAUGGAAAGAGGCAAUGGAUAGCGAGAUCCAAUCCAUGUAUGAUAACCAAGUUUGGAAUUUGGUUGAUUAUGUGCCCGGACGUAAGACCGUUGGGUGCAAAUGGAUCUUCAAGAAGAAGACCGACGUGGAUGGAAACGUACACACAUAUAAAGCGCGAUUGGUUGCGAAGGGCUUUACUCAAACUCCCGGAGUUGACUAUGAUGAGACCUUCUCACCAGUUGCGAAGAUUAAAUCUAUUAGAGUGAUGCUAGCAAUUGCCGCAUUUCAUGAUUAUGAGAUUUGGCAAAUGGAUGUCAAGACCGCUUUCCUUAACGGAAAGUUGGCUGAGGAUGUUUACAUGGCUCAGCCAGAGGGGUUUGUGGAUCCGAAGCAUCCGAAUAGAGUGUGUAAGCUUGAGAAGUCCAUUUAUGGACUUAAGCAAGCGUCUCGCAGAUGGAAUCUUUGCUUCGAUGAGAAAGUCAAAGAGUUUGGAUUUGUACGAAGCGAAGACGAAUCUUGUGUAUAUGUCAAAGCCAGUGGGAGUAUAGUAAGCUUCCUCGUUCUAUAUGUCGAUGACAUAUUACUCAUAGGAAACGACAUCCCGACUCUGCAGGAGGUUAAGUCCUGGCUCGGGAAGUGCUUCGCUAUGAAGGACCUCGGAGAGGCUUCUUACAUUUUGGGAAUAAGGAUAGUAAGAGAAAGAAGUAAGAGACUAAUUGGACUUAGUCAGAAUACUUACUUAGAGAAGGUACUAAAACGUUUUAGUAUGGAAAACUCAAAGAAGGGAGAACUACCGAUACAAAGUAAUGCCAAAUUGAGUAAGACUCAAAGUCCGAGUACCGAAGCUGAGAUAGCAGAAAUGAGCCGAGUACCAUACGCUUCCGCAGUUGGCUCAAUCAUGUACGCUAUGACUUGUACUCGCCCUGAUGUAGCCUUCGCUUUGAGCAUGGUUAGCAGAUAUCAAGGGAAUCCUGGCAAAGCACAUUGGAUUGCGGUGAAGAAUAUCCUUAAGUACCUUCGGAGGACGAAGGAAUGGUUCUUAGUCCUCGGAGGGAGUGAUGACUUGAAGGUGCGAGGGUAUAGUGACGCCAGUUUUCAGACCGACAGGGACAACUACCGUUCGCAGUCGGGCUGGGUCUUUACCCUAAAUGGAGGAGCAGUGACAUGGAAGAGUUCCAAGCAGGAAACCGUAGCUGAUUCAACGUGCGAAUCAGAGUACAUUGCAGCGAGCGAAGCGUCGAAGGAGGCAAUAUGGCUAAAGAACUUCAUCGGUGAUCUUGGAGUUGUACCUGCCAUAAAGGAGCCAAUGGAGAUUUUCUGUGAUAACGAAGGCGCGGUUGCCUUAACCAAGGAACCGAGGGAUCAUGGUAGAUCAAGACAUAUCGACAGAAAGUAUCACUUCAUUAGACAUCGUGUAGAAGAAGGACAACUCGUAGUGAAGAGGAUAUCAUCAGAAGAUAACCCAGCAGAUCCGCUUACGAAGGGACUGAGUAGGGUUAAGCACUUGCAGCAUGCUAGGAGUAUUGGGCUGAAGGAUGAUAUUAGCAUAGAUUAGAUAGUAUUAGAAACGUGUAAUAGAUAAAUGUAAUUAACAUUUGAUGAUUAAAUAAAGGAGUUUUAUUUAUGAGUAAUGUUACUAUCUUAUGUUAAUUGUUUAGCUAUUGUUUCACUUUGCAUGUUUUGACUUCCAGAAUAAUUGAGUUUAUUAGGAAUAAUCGAAUUGUUCAAAUGGUCCACAAUCGUUCAUAUGUUGGGAGUAGAUAUGAAUGAAGAUUGUCAUGAAUUGGUGUGUAGAAUGUCUAAAUGGUGUUAGACAUAGCAAAGGAUUGCUGCAACGUUCAUGAGUGCUUAUGAACUAGUUUUGAGCAUUGGAAUAAACCCGCGCUUGCUGGAAUCACCUUAUGGAAUACGAUAUAAAAGGUGAUCGCAAGACGAUAAUAUCAUAUAGUCUUAAAACCUAGAUAUAUGGUUUAUUAUUUGUUAAUUGAUUGUACAUUGAUAAUACGAAAACGCAUCAGUAACUUGGUGUUAUAAAACGUAUUGUUGUGUAUAGUUGGUAAAUGAAUAAGUAAAUGCAUAUAAGUCGAAGUUUAUCUGUAACUUUUAUCUAAGAAGGUAAAAGCGAUAUCUCGGCCGCUCGAUGAUUUGAUUUGACUUAUGUGCCGGGCCCGGUCAGAACUGAAUUGAUGUGUUCGAUUAAGUUCUAUGUCAAAUAAAUCAGAGAUCGAGAAACCUAAAUGCUUGACUAACCAUUCCAUAGGAUUGUCAGCAUGAUAUCUAACAGAGGACUGUACGUUCCCUUAUCUAAAGGACAAGAUUGAUUAGAUCAGAGUUGACAGCGUCUUUGAGAGCUACGAUUGCAAACCGAAUUGUACUUGUAUAGUUACUAGACUUAUCCAAGUGGGAGACUGUUGGAAUAGUGUCUAAGGCUGUAACUAUAUUAGGCAAGUAUUUGAUCCGGUUGUGCAUGGUCCUUUUGGGUUGCCUUCACCAUAGCAACUUGAUAGGAUGAUUUAUUAAGAGAGAGUAAAUAUUAUUAAUAUAUUAUGAGAAUAAUAUAAUGAAUAAUAUAUUUGUUAUUUGAUUAAUAUAAGUCAUAGAAUUAAUUAGAAUUAAUUUGGUGACUUAAAGAGAUUAAUUAAAUAAAGGCCAGGGAACUGUCAAUUGUUUGAUAGUUAAGCUUUAGACUGUAAAUCCAUUUGGAUAUGCUAUGGACGAAUUCUAAGAGGUUUAGGAUAGCUAAAAUCGUCCAUAUGAUUAUCUUAGGAAUGGAUUUGGAUAGCCUUAAGAGAAGAUUAUCCAAUUAGGGUUUAGGUUGUAACCCUUAAGGAGUCUACAAGUAUAAAUAGACCCCAUGGCAUAGGGAAUUCGACACAUCUCAUAAAGUAAGAGAACCCUGGCCGAAUUCCUUCCCUCUCCUCUCUCCUAAAUCAUUCUUCUUGCUAUUGGUGUUUGUAAGCCAUUAGAGGAGUGACAUUUGUGACUCUAGAAGCUCCAAGACCUCAAGAUCAACAAGGAACUCAAAGGUAUGAUUCUAGAUCUGUUUCAAUGUUGUUAUUUAACCUAAUUAGUCAUUAGAAGACUUGGAUUCAAAGCAUGUUUAUUAGAAAGCCUAGAUCCAAGCAUUAGGGUUUUGCAUGCGCACAUAGGAAAGUUCUUAUGGCUAAAACCCAUCAUUAUGUAUUGUAAGCAUGAUAUCUAGAACAGAGGAUUAUACGAACUCUUAUCUAAAGGACAAGUUAAUGAUCAGAGUUGACAGCGGCGUAUAAGAGCUACGAUUGUUAAUCGGAUCCUGAAGUCAUAAGUGAGAUAUAGUUACUAGACUUAUCCAAGUGGGAUACUGUUGUAUUAGUGUCUAAGCCUUUAACUAUAUUUGGUAUGUACCUGACCCGGUUGUGCAUGGUCCUUUUGGGUUGCCUUCACCAAAGCAACUUGACAAGGUAAUUUAGGAGAGAGAAAAUAUUAUGAUUUGUUAAUAUAUUAUGAGAAUAAUAUAUUAAAGGAGAAAUCAUAUUAUUUGAUUAAUAAUAGUCAUAAAUUAAUUAGGAAUUAAUUUGGUGACUAAAAGAGAUUAAUUGAAUAAAGGGGCUUAAACUGUCAAAUGUAUGAUAGUUGAGUUUUGGGCUAGGAAACCCAAUGGAUUAAAGGGGGAACGAAAUUAUGAUGGGGAUCCAUCAUAUUUUCGUCCAUAGGCCCUAUUCCAGAAGGUUCCAUGGGCUGCUUGGUGAUUAAGUUGUCCAUUAGGGUUUUACCUGAAACCCUAGCAGCCUACAUUAUAUAUAGAGACCCCUACUUGCAAUUUUUGGCCACUUGAUUCCAAGAGAAACCCUAGGGCCGAUUUGAGUUUCCUCCCUCCUCUCUCAUAAUUUCCUUCUUACUUGUGUGGUGUUUGUAAGCCAUUAGAGGAGUUACACUUGUGACUCUAAGCUCAAGAACCAAGAUAAAACAAAAGGUUUCAAGCCAAUUGAAAGAGGUAAUCAUUUAAAUAUGUUCUUAUCAUGUAUACUUCGAAUUAUGCAUGCUAAAUCUAGGGUUCCAAGUCUUAGAUGAAUUACAUGUACAAUAGAGAAGCCUAGAUCCAAGCUUUAGGGUUUUGCAUGAGCAUAUAGGAUGUUCUUUUGUAUUAAAACCAUCAGUGGUAUCAGAGACUUGAUUGGUUUUUGUUGUAUGUGAUGUAAUUGUUGAGUUUUUGCUGAAAAUCGUUUUUCUGGCCUCUGCCCGACCCGACUCGGCGAGUCAGUAUCUGGACUCAGCGAGUCUGCCCAACUCGGCGAGUCCAGGUAGUGACUCGGCGAGUCUGGGAGUCGGGCAGAGGAUAUCUCAGGAUUUCUUGCUGUUUUGCUAAAGUAUAAAUGCCAAAAUCGUUUUUUAAUGAUAAAAUCCGAAUUUUAUUGCAUUUAGAUGAUUAUCCUUACCAAAACAAAAGAUAAUUUCAAAUCAUUUGAAUUAUAGUUUCUUUAUUUGAUAAAUUUUGAUUGUUUAAAUUAUUUUGUAAUUAUCUUGUGAAUAAAAUUGGAUUAGGUCAAAUAUAGAUAAUCAAAAAAUUAAUUGUUUAUUUUAUAUUAUUUGUGAUUUGAUCGUUUGCGUUUUGAAAAGUUCAAAUCAUGCCCUCAAGUUUUGAAAUUUAAAUUUUUGAUUAAAAGUUUAAUUUUGAAUGAUUUAAAUUUCAAACCCUUAGAAUUUUACAAGUUUAAAAUUCAACCCUAUAGUAUUAUAUUAUUACAAGAUUAAUUAAUAUAUAUGUAUAACUUGAAGUGCUAGUCUUACCGUUAGUAGGCCUCAUUCACGAAGCCGAUCUAUAAGUGGGUAUAAGGUUAUGGCCUAUAAAAUGGCCAUUUAAUGGGUAUCCACUCUUACCCACCGCUUCCUUGAUUGGUGGAGGGUCGUUAGCCGAACGGGUAGGAUAGGGCAAUCCUCUCCUCGUUAAAAGUAUAAUGAAUGAUACAAAGUAACUACAAUGUUUUUACAAAUUCCCAAUCUUAGUUACUUUAGGGUAAAAUGUGAAAAUGAUGCUACUCAUUGGAAUUACACUUUGUACCCUUGUCAAAUGUUAGUGGAGUGUGUGUGGUUAACCAGCACACUAAUUUGGGACUGACAUUGGUAGCGAAGGGUGGCUCGAUGUUUGUCAUAGAUCAAUGGAGCGUGUGUAGUUUACUGACACAAUGAUUAGGUGAUAGAGACAUUGAGUGCACCAUGUUGAUUUGUAUGGUUAUUCACACCUUGUUUGUGAUCCUCGGUAUCCCAGCCACAAACUUGAAGGCCAUAUCGAGAUUUAAACAUGCGAUUGAAAAGUUCAAUUAAUCUCAAAAGUAUCUAGGAGUUUUCAAAUACAUUUAAAAAUUAAUUUCCUUUUGUUUUUCAUGGUGGAAAUUGAAUCGUCAUUCACUUACCUUCAAAUUAUUUACAUUUAGAUUACGACAUCCCUUUUCUAAGUUGUGGACAAUGUUGUUGGUUCUUAGCCCUAAUUUUUCAUUUGGGUGUUUAAUUGGGGAUUCAUUUCUAAUUAAACUUUGUUCCUUUCUAAUUUCAAAUGUCUGCUAACAACAACAACAACGCUUCUGGGUCAUUCUCGCUGAUGAACUUGUGCACAAAAGUGACAUUUUAUGGUUCGAAAUUCAAUGAGUGGAUGACAUACAUUCGUAUGAUCAAUCGCUACGAGGACAAAGAGUAUGUCUUGAUUUAAAGCUUGAAAAGAUCCCCCCAGAGAUUACUACUGCUGAAGAGUUGGCCGACUUUGAGGCCCAUGAGCGUGAUGCUACGAAAUUCCAUUGCAUCAUGUUGGCCACUAUGAACAUAGAACUCCAAAAGUCCUAUUAGGACAUGUAUCCCUACGAGAUGCAUCAAGAUUUGCUGGAACGGUACCACCAGAGUGCGAGGCAAGAGCGCUAUGAGAUCAUCACAAAUAUGAUCACCACUAAGAUGGGGAAUGGAGAAUCCCUAACCUCUCAUUUGCAGAAGAUGUAGAGGUAUGUUUAUCAUCUUCUCAAAUUAAAUGUUAAAUUUGAUGAAGAUUUGGCUAUCGACAUCAUCCUCUACUCCUUGCCUUCCUGCUACAACCAGUUCAGAAUGACCUACCACAUGAAUAAGGAAGAUGUCUCCUUGGGUAAAUUUCAAAGACUGCUGAGAGCAACCUCAUGGACAAAUCUGUUGCAUCGGUCCCUACCAUGGCUGCUUUUGUGUUGGCAAUUGGUCAAGGAAAGGGUAAGAAGAGGAAGGCUCCUUCAAAGAGCUACCAAAAGGGAAAUCCCCGUGAUGGUUCAUCCUCUAGUGGGAUCAAAGCAGGUUCUGCUAAGCCCUCCUCUGACCCUAAGGAAGCAGAGUGUUUCUAUUUCCACGAGAAGGGCCACUGGAAACGAAGCUGCCCUAAAUAUCUGCAGGACAUUAAGGAUGGGAAGAUAAAUCCCACUUUCGUAGGUAUGUAUUCUAUUAAAUCUAACGACUCAUCACUUGCUACUUCAUGGGUUCUUGAUACAGGAUGUGGUUUCCACAUUAGAAUUAACACUUCCUAGAGUGUGACUGACAAUAGAAGUUUGAACAUAAUUAAAGAUUCUAGAAGUAGGUUUCAAAACAUGCAAAAGUGAAACACAAUAUUUGAAUUAACAUAACUUUGAUAGCGACAUAAUCUCUUUAUUAAGUCUACAAAAUAAACAACAAGAUGGAUACAAUUCAUAUUAAUAUACGGUUCAUAAUAAUUCUAACUAACAACUGAACUACUACAUCAAAUCAGUAUCUAGUCUCAUGCUAACGGUCCUCACAUAACCAUCAUGUUUCUCUCAUGAAAGUGGCUUCAUGAACGGAUAUACAUAAUUCUCUACAUAUGAUAACAUGUUUACAACGAUGUCUUUGUCUUCCACCUUAUGUCAAAUGUAAUGAUACUUUCUCAAUAUGUGUCUUGAAUUACCAUGGUCCCUGUGCUCUUUAGUCAAGGUGACUACACCCUCGUUAUCACAAUAGAUCUCUAUAGGAUCUUUGACGGUUGGUGAAACUCCAAGAUCAUCGAUGAAGUUCUUUAACCAUGUAUCCUCCUUUGUUGCUUUAUAGGCUGCAAUAUACUUAGAAUCGCAUCUCUAGUUUUCCAGCUGUCUUCUAUUUGGAACUUUUCCACGUAACAACUCCUUUAUUAAGCAAAAACACCCAAUCUGAUUGUGAACACGAGUUAUCCUUGUCAGUAUGGAAACUUGCAUCUGAAUAACCUGUAACUCAUAAUUCUUUUCUGCCACGAUAAACUAAGAACAUAUCCUUAGUUUUUUUCCAGAUACUUUAGGAUAUUCUUCAUAACUGUCUAAUGACUAUCAACAUGAUUGUCUUGAUAUCAACUCACCAUGCUCAGAGCAUAUGAUAUAUCAGGUCUAGUACAUGUCAUGACAUAUAUAAUUGAUGCUAUAGUAGAAGCAUAUGGGACUCGAUUCAUCCUAUCCAGUUCUUCUACAUCUCUGGGAGACUGAUGCUUGCUCAAUAUUAUGCCAUGUUGCUUGGGUAGAUACCAUUUCUUUGAAUCUUGCAUUUUGAAUAGUUUCAAAACCUUAUCUAAGUAUGUACUUUGGCUCAGCCCAGCUAGAAUUUUAGAUCUGUGUCUAUAGAUCCUAAUGCCUAGUAUGUAAGUUUCUUUUCUUAUGUUCUUCAAAGCGAAAAAUUUCUCAAGCCAAGUUUUGACACUCUACAAGGUUGGAAUAUUGUUUCCUAUAAGUAGUAUGUCGUCAACAUACAAUACUAGGAAGACAAAAUUACUCACACUGGCUAAGACAUACGCAAGAAUCAUACUCACUUCUAUAGAAUCUAAACUCUUUGUCCUUUUUAUGAAAGUAAAGAUUCCAGCUACAUGAUGCUUGUUUGAGUCCAUUUUACACUCUAUUAGGAUAUUUUGGAUCAAUGUAGCCCUCAGUUUGUGCCAUGUAUACAUCCUCUGCUAAUUUCCCUAUUAAGGAAAUUAGUCUUCAUAUCCAUUUUCUAUAUUUCAUAGUCAUAGAAAGGUGUUAUGGCAAGUAGUAUCUGAAUAGACUUUAUCUUAUCUACCGGUUAGAAGGUUUCCUCAUAAUCAAUUCCCCGAGUCUGAGUGUAACCCUUCAGAACUCGCUUAGAUUCAUAUGUGUGCACAUUUGCAUCAAUGUCGGUCUUCUUCAUGAAGAUCCACUUGCACCCAAUGGUUUUAAUGCCAGGUGCAGGAUUAGCUAAAUUCCAAACUUGGUUAUCAUACAUGGAUUGAAUUUUACUUUCCAUACUCUCAUUCUAUGUAGUAGCUUUAGAGCUUGCCAUUACUUUCUGUAACAACCCAAAUUUCCAAUAAAAUUUUUCAUUUUAAAUAACCAAAACAUUUCCAAAAAAUAUGAAAUCCCAAACACAUUUGUUUUCAAAAUCCAUAACAUCCGUAAAACUAUUCAUAAAAUCAGAUUGUCCCAAAUGAAACGCCAGAAAGAGCAUGCUGCGCCAUCACGCCGGGCUAUUGCCCUUAGAUCCUGAGGCACCUGAAACAACCAACAAACUGUAAGCUAAUGCUUAGUGAGUUCCCAAGAACAUACCCCACACAAUACACAUAAUCACAUAACCCAUAUUAGCUAUAUCAACGACAUAUAUCACAUAAGCCAUGCAUACAAACAUAUAAGGAUGUCAUGGAAACCCUCCAAGUUCUUAUACAUGGUGCCACUAGAACGCCCACGUGGUCUUAACCCACUGCUAUGGGAACCCCCACAUGGUCUUGACUACCUGCCAUGGGAACCUCCAUAUGGUCUUCACUAACUUCCAUGGGAACCCCCACAUGGUAUUAGCUACCAAAGAAAUAUCAUGCAAGCUAACAUACAACAUACUAGGAUUCCAUGUAAACCCUCCAAGGUCUUACACCAAAUGCCAGGGGAAACCCUACAUGGUCUUAAUCCACUGCCACGGGAACCCCCCGACGUCUUCCAUGCAAAUGUCAUACCAACAUAACACAUAACCAACUAUCCAUCUACAUAUCACAUAAUGGCCCGACCUUGGUGCCUUCGACUCAUUGGUAUGGUGAGAAGACUCACCUCUUAAGAAUUGCUUAACCGGUAAAAAUCAAUCCUAACUCAUAACUCCAAACUAAACCGCCUACAACCACCUUGCAACUAACUUCACUAAAACCCUGAAUUAACAAAGAUAUCCUUAAAGUCAAACUUGGUCAACCCUGGUCCUAAUCAAUGUCAACAAUCAAGGUUAACGGUUCAUGUUUACCCAACUCGUCGAGUGCAUCUGGAAACUUGUCGAGUUCCUUCAGUGUUCAGAAAACUGGGAAAACCCUAGCGAACUAGCAGAGUAUCUGAUCAACUCGACAAGUUCGCUUAGUAUCCAGAAAGCGGGAAAACCUGAUCCAACUUGUCGACUUGUCAAGGCAACUGGUCAAGUUUUCCCAGUUAUAACAUAUUUAGCCCCAUCAAGUUGAUACUAAAGCCACAAACUACAGAUCUGGUACCCUAGGGUUAAUAUGCCACGUAAAGUUGCUAACUUUAGAUCCAUGCAAGGCGUCAGUGGGAUAAAACACUCAAACAAAGCUUAUGAAGGGACUUAGAGCAUGAAGGAGAGCCAUGACUUGAUAAAGUUGGCAACUUUAAGUCCACAAGGGGCAUGAUAUGUCUAGAUCUGAAGCCAUAUCUUCAUAACAUGCUCAAAUCCAAGAAUGGUCCCAAAAUAGGCUAAUAAUGGCCAUAAACUUUCAAGGGACAAGAUCUAAUAAAAGAAUAGUCAAGGUAUCGACUUUAUACCUUAAUAUAAUUGCCACAACAGAGAAAUUCAUGGAUCUAAAGCUUCUCCCUUCAACUAUGCACUACCAACUUCAACUCCUUCAAGAAACACCAAGGAACACACUCUUUUAACCCAAACAUAAUCAAAAAUCGGAGAUGAGACAUGAUUUAGGGUUUCUAUGGCCUGAGAGGACGAUGCUGGAGGCUAACAAUGAGGCUUAAGGCCUUUAAAUAGGGUGCAAACCCUGAAAAUUAGGGUUUUUCCUUUCCAUCCUCAACUCGCCGAGUUGGGGAUCCCUAACUCGUCGAGUAGAACCUCAAUCCUGUGUCCAUAAAGUUCCUUACUCGAUAAGUUGGAGCUCCCCAACUCUUCGAGUUCUAGUCCAAACCCGAAAAUGUUUAGAAAUAAAUAAUACCUGGAGAAAGCAUUACAUAUCUUCCCAACUUGAACUAGAAUUUGUCCUCGAAGUCUGCUGAUGCAAACAAAUAUGGGUAAUGCUCUUGCAUCUCAUCCUCCAGAUCCCAUGUCGAUUCCAAGCCUUUUCGGUGUUGUCAUUACACCUUCACUAGAUUCACCUCUUUGUUACGAAGAACCUUAUUUUUCUUAUCCAAAACAACAACAAGCCUCUUAGUGUAGUUCAGGCUCUCAUCCACCUGAAUGUCGGCCUAAGGAAUAAUCGCGGGCUCGUCUGUGACACACUUCCGCAGCUAAGACACAUGUAAGGUGUUAUGAAUCUGGCUAAGCUCGUCCGAAAAAUACAGACGGCAAAUCCAGGAGGAAAUCCUGAACAGUCCAAUAUAUCGGGGCCUUAACUUGCCCCUCUUCCAAAACCUAAUGACACCCUUCCAUGGUUACACUUUCAACAAGACGAAGUCUCUCACCUGGAACUCAAGAUUCGAGCGACGUAGGUCUUCAUUUCUCUUCUGACGGCUCUGUGUAACCUGCAGCGUGUCGCGCGCUUGCUGGAUCAACUCGGUAGUCUUAAGCACCACUUCGGUGCUUCCCAUGACUCGGUGCCCAACCUCACCCCAACAAACUGGGAUCCUACAGCUCCGACCAUAUAGCAUCUCAAACGGGGGUUGGUCGAUACUAGCAUGAUAACUAUUGUUAUAUGAAAAGUCUGCUAGUGGGAGGUAUGCAUCCCAACUCCCUCCGAAAUCCAAUACGCAUGCCCGCAUCAUAUCCUCGAGCGUCUGGACCGUCCGCUCGCUUUGGCCGUUUGUCUAGGGGUGGUAUGCAGUGCUGAAGUGUAACUGUGUGCCCAGUUCCUCGUGGAACUUCCUCCAAAUCUGGAUGUAAAUCAGACAUCCCGAUCAGAGACCACCGACACUGGCACCCCGUGCCUAACCACCACCUCUCGCACAUAAAUAUCUACAAAUUUCUCAGCAUCUCGGGGAUCGAAAUAAAAUGAGAACUCUUCGUCAACUUGUCCACAAUGACCCAAACAAAAUCCACACCCCUCGCUGUCCUCAGUAACUUCGAGAUGAAUUCCAUGGUGAUCUCUUCCUACUUCCACAUAGGAAUGGGUGGCGGUUGAACGUUUCCGUGAGGCCUCUGAUGUUCGGCCUUGACCUUCCAGCAUGUCAAGCACCGCUCCACGAAUCAUGCGAUCUCCCACUUGGCCACUAGUAACUCAACCUCAGAUCCCUAUACUUCUUUGUGGCCCCCGGGUGAAUUGAGAACUUGGAUUUGUGUGCCUCCUCCAAGAUCUAUUGCCCCCGGGUGAAUUGAGAACUUGCCGCCUUGCGACUCAAAGCAUCAGGCACCAGGUUAGCCUUCCCUGGAUGGUACAAAAUGUCGAAGUCGUAAUCUUUUAGUACAUCCAACCAUCUCCUAUGCCGCAUGUUGAGGUUCUGCUGAUUCAUCAAUUACUUCAAACUUUUGUGGUUUGUAAAGAUGGUGCACCGAACUCCGUAAAAGUAAUGCCUCCAUAUUUUGAGGGAAAACACCACCGCCCCAAUUCCAGGUCAUGAGUGGGGUAAUUCACCUCAUGAGGCUUCAUCUGCCUUGAGGUGUAUGCGAUCACAUGCCCCUUCUGCUUCAAAACACACCCUAACCCUAAGAUCGACGCAUCACAAUAGACUACCAAAUCGUCCAAUCCCUCGGGUAGUACUAGAAUCAGGGCCUCACAUAACCUCUAUCUUAAGGUCUCGAAAGCCAACUGCUAGUUCGGGCCCCACCGGAAAGUCACAUUCUUCUUAGGUAAGUGAGUCAAAGGUACAACGAUCUUGGAGAAAUCCUGGAUGAAUUUCCAAUAGUACCCCGCUAAACUCAAGAUGCUACGGAUCUGAAAUGCAUUCUUCGGUACUUCCCACCACAUUACUUCCUCAACCUUGGCUGGAUCAACCGUUACCCUCUUGGUUGAUGACGUGCCUCCAAAAUUGCACCUCUCGCAACCAAAAUUCACACUUUGAGAAAAAGGCGUAAAGCCUUUCCAUCCUCAGUGUCUCCAAUACCUCCCUCAGAUGCUGUUCAUCUGCUCCUUGGUGUUAGAAUAGACCAAGAUUUCAUCGAUGAAAAUGAUCACUGACUGAUCCAACAUCAGCCUACACACCCUGUUCAUGAGCUCCAUGAAUGCUGCUGGGGCAUUGGUGAGCUCGAAUGGCAUCACCACAAACUCAUAGUGACUGUACUGAGUCCUGAAGUUGUCUUCAGUAUAUCCUUAGCUCUAAUCCUCAUCUGAUGGUACCCCGACCGAAGAUCAAUCUUUGAAAACCAAGAUGCGCCCUGAAGCUGAUCGAACAAAUCAUCGAUCCUCGGAAGUGGAUAAUGGUUUUUUAGCGUUAUCUUGUACAGCUCCCGAUAAUCGAUACACAUCCUAUGUGACCCAUCCUUAUUCUUCAUGAACAGGAUCCGUGCUUCCCACGGGGAACUGCUCGGACGAAUAAACCCUCGGCCUAGCAGCUCCUGAAGCUACAUAGACAGCUCCUGCAUCUCGAGCGGAGCUAGCCGGUACGAUGCCUUGGCUAUCAGAGCGGCACCCGACACCAAAUCAAUGCGAAACUCUAUUUGCCUCUAAGGAGGCAACCAAGGCAACUCCUCGGGAAAGACAUCCCGAAAAUCCUGUACAACUGGUACACUACCCAAAUUUGUCGAGGUCUCAACCCUCAUAUCUGAGACAUACGCCAAGAAUCUCGAACAACCCUGAUGGAGAAGUCUACUAGCCCUUGCAGAUGAACAAAGGGUUGGCCCCUGCGAUGCUCUCUCUCCAUGAAUAACCAGUUUUCCUCCACUUGGGGUUCGAACUCUCACCAGCUGGCACUCACAAUCUAUCAUGGCCCCGUUGGCACCCACCAGUCCAUUCCAAUGAUCACCUUCAAUCCUCUCAAUGGUAUUGAAAUCAGAUCGGCACGGAACCUCUCCUUAAACACAUUAAGGACACAGUCCUGAUAUACCCUUGCAGCACUCAUAGUAUGGUUAUCCGUAAUCUUAACCUCAAGCAGGGAAUCCAAAGCCCCCGGAGCAUCCUAUAACUUCUUGCUAAGCGCAAGAGAUACGAAUAAUUGGGUAGCUCCUGAAUCGAAAAUAAAAUGAGCCGACAUACCAUUGACCAUAAAGGUCCCUAUAUAAGAGCACAUAUAUACAUAAGCAUGACAAAUCAAUAUCGAGCAUAAAAUAAAUUAAGUACCAGUCACGACGUCUUGCGCUGCCCGGGCCUCCUCAGUAGUUAACUGAAAUGCGUGGAUCUUCACUACCGGAGCAUCCGCCUUGGCAGGGCGGCCAUUAGUGAUCCUCAUUAUGGCGAGCGUAGGCGGAACCAUUGCUCCUCCUCCUCCCUGCAACCCCGAACAAUCGGCCUUUAUAUGUCCGGUCUGGUUGUAGUGGAAACAAAUCAAACCCCACUAUGCGAUCUCCCACAUUUGGCACACCUGCUAUGACUCUGAUGGCCCUUACCAGAAGAAUCAGAGGUCUUAGGCUUUUUAGCCUGACAUACAACUCUCUGAACCUGCUCUGGCUUUCACUUAGUGCGGUACUCCAACUCCAUCUCCCGCUCUGGCACCUUCUCCACCAUCUCAUUCAGGGUUUUGCACCCUGAAAAGCUCACGAACUCAUAGAUAUCAUCCCUCAGAAUGGAAUGAUACCUUGUCCUCCUCAUAUCCUUAUCUGCGGCAUAUUGUGGAAUCAACAGUGCUUGUUCCCAAAACUUGGCGGUGAUCUCUGCCAUAGUCUCGAUUGUCUACUGGAGCUUCUGGAACUCCCUUACUAGCCGUUGCACCUCAACAGAUGGUGCAAACUCUAAAUCAAAACGCCUGACAAACUCCUCCCGUGACAUCUCAGCCACUCCAGCUGAUCCCACCUGGUGGGUCACCUCCUCCCAACAGUCCUUGGCUCGGUCUCUCAACAUGUAUGAAGCAAAUCCCACUUUUCCACCUUUAGGCAAGAGCUCGUGUGCUGGGGAUUCUCCAUGUCUGCCACCCAGCAUCGACAAACUGUAGGAUCCCUAACCCGAAAGAACUUAGGCGCUCCGCACACCUUAAACUCUCGGAACGAGGGAGUUUGGGCCCUGACCUGGCCCGCAACAAUCUAGGCUCGGAAAGACCUGAGCCGCUCCUCCAUAAUCUCCAUCAUCCCUUCCUUGACGAUCCCGAAAAUCAUUGGCGUAGCGUCAAGAAUGCCCCUCGUCACCUUAGUUGCGAUAAGCUCGCAUAACCUCUUGUUAAUAGGCGCUGUAGCGUAGCGCGACCCAGAUCCGGAUCCUGAUCCCCCUGAUCCAUGACGUGUCAUCACCAUUUGGAUCUGAAAUACCAUAACAUAUAAUGAUCAAAAUAUCCAAAAAAGGGAUCCUACGACAUCGAUUCUCCUUACAGCCUCCAGAUCUAACAUUGGUUUGGGUACAUGUGAUGUGCUUUCAGUAGUACGGGUCCAAUAUUACCUUCCAUACCUACCUGCACCUUCCCCAAGGAUCUACCUGAUAACUCUAAUUCGCCCUAGAACAAAACAUAGUUCACAAACUAUCGCAUAACUCAAAUUCUAGGCUAACCUAAGAUAUGCUCCAUUCCCAUCAAACCAGAACUCAAAUCAAUCAUAAUAGGUUGCCUUAUGCAUGAAAAUUAUACGCAUAAUAGGAUCAAAUAGACUUUCGAAUAAUAGACUCUACCCUAGGACCAUUACCAGACAAGAAACAAGAAAUAAGGCCAAAUACAUCAUUCUAAGGCUAUAAGAUCCUAACCGUAUACAAUUUUUAAUGCAUACACAUAGCAAAAUCCAGCGGACUAUCAUAUUCCAAAUAUCAAUAUAGCAUGGCUAACAUACUAGGGAACCAUUUACUUGAGCUUGGCCGAUUACGUGCAUUGCACUCUCCCUUUUUCGGUUUUAAGAAGAUUUAACUUUGAUUUUUUUGAAUUUUUUUUUACCAUUUCCUUAAUUUGAGUUCUAACACAACAGAGAGUGUGCCCGAAUCCUUCAAACCAAGGCUUUCAUACCAACUUGUAAGAACCCAAAUUGUUUAUUGUCUUUAUUUUGCAUUUUCCUUCAGGUCCUUCUGAUCAUACAACCUGUGUGGUGAUGAAAUGAAGAUGCUACCUUAACACCAAUUUAGAGUUUUUUAGGAGAAAGAAAAUGAGAAACAUGCAUCUGUGAAGGGAAAAUCUCGUUUGGGAACUGUAAGUGUUUUUACUUAAAUACCCUUUGAUUGUUUUGCUUGAGUUAACAUGUUUAGUGUGGAUGUAAUGCUAGAUUGUUCAUCAUAAAAUUGCAGCAGCUCUGUGCUUGACUAUAGUCAAUAAUGAAUAUAAGAUGGAGUUCAGUAGAAUCUUGGAAUCCAUCAAGGUAUCUGUUUUUUUAAUUUAUUUAUUUAAAGAUUUUAUGGAAAAUUUUAUGGUUGAUUCUAAUAUGAUGAAUGAAUUUUUGUUGUUUGUUUCAAGCGAAUUUCAAUGAUAAGUAUGAUGAGUAAAGAAAGAAGUGGGGUGUGGGAUAAUGGGGUCAAAAUCACAGGCUAAAACCAAAGCAAAAGAAAGGGUUCUUGCUUAGGAGGCUGCUCAGAGAUUGACAUAAAUACCCUUCAUUAUCUUGGAAGCUUUGUGUUUAGUACCUCUUAAGUUAUAUGUUUACAAAGGUGAGGUACAUGAGUUUGAUUAUGUCACAAUUUUAUUUAGUUUUGGUUGGUUUUGCUGGUAUGGAGAAGGGUAUUUCUGUCUGUUUUUUUACCCAUUUUUGUGUUAACUUAUAAUGGAUCCAUACCAUAUGAUGCAAAUUAUUAGGUUGAUAUUUUUUUAUUUUUUUCUUUUAUACAAUUCUACUUAUAAUGGAUCCAUACCAUAGGUGUAGUAUGUAAACUAUUUAUUAACAAAUAGACAAAUCAAUAUGAAAACCUCUCAAAUAAAUAUAAAUAAAAUGUUGGUUGAUAUUUUCUUAUUUUUUUCUUGUUUUCAUGGAGUGCGUUAGCUGGAAUGAGGGAAAGGGAGUGGGUUGGGGAAAACAAAUGUAGACAAAUUCACUUGGGUGGUAAUACAAAUUUGAUUAAAAUCAGUUUUAACUUGAUGUGAAAUAGGUUGCUUUGGCAAAGCAGAGAGUUGAUAGUACUUAUAUACUCAAAUGAUGCAGGAAACUGGUGGUCAGUAGUCCAUGUAAGUUUCUUGAUUUGUAACAUCUUGUAUUCAAGAAAUAGCAAUGUACUUUCCAUAAAAAAAUUAUAAAUUAUAUUCUUUGAAAAUUUUGGUAGAUUGGUAGGUUUAAAAGUAGAAUGUCCUAAUAAGAAUAAAUUUAAAAAGUAGAAUGAAAAUGACAAGUGAUUUUGUGUUGUGUUUACAGGGUUGAUGAAAGCGAAUAGCUCUAGAGUUAAAAGAGGAAAAGAAAGCUCAAGCUUAAAGUGAUAAGAUGCUGCAAAUGCAAGUGUUGCAUUCUUCAUUUCAAUUGUUAGUAUAAAACAUAUAGUAGAUUAGAUGAAUGCAAAUUUAUAUAUUGUAAGGAAUAGAAUUGUGUGACAUUAAAUUUUAUGCAAUGGAUUGUAUUUUUUGUAUAUGUUAUUUUAUUUCUAUUAUGAGACAUUAAAUGCAAAUUUAAUUUAAAAAAUAAUAAGUAUAUAAAUAUUUUUUUAAAACAAUUAAAUUUACGAUACGCAAAAAUGUGUGUCAUCUUCAUUUAUGACAUGGCCUUUCUUGACAUGGGUUUUAAUGAUACGCAUUGCGUGUCAUAAGUGUGCGUCAGCUAUAGACGACACACAAAAACAUGUCGUCUCUCGUUUUGACAGGGCCUUCCUUGAUGUGCAUUUGCACAUUGUCUGAGCGUUUUACGACAAGCGUUGCGCAUCAUAAAAGGCUGUUUUUCUAGUAGUGCGUGUCGACAAUUACCCAAAUAGUAUCAUUACUACCCGUUGUUCUGGGUAACUUGGUUAUGAAAUCCAUUAUAAUUCACUCCCACUUCCACUCAGGUAUUUCUGGUUGUUGUAGUAGACCUGAAGGCUUUUGAUAUUCUACCUUGACUUUGGUGCAAGUUAGACACUUGCCCACAUACGUAGCAAUUUUAGCUUUCAUAUUCGGCCACUAAUAGAGUUUCUUAAGGUCCAGAUACAUCAUGUCUGAACCUAGAUGAAUGGAGUAUCAAGUUUUAUGAGCUUCAUUCAUGACAACAUCUCUGUAACCACCAAACUUCAGUGUCCAGAUCCGAUUCAUGAGAUAACGAACUCCGUCACCCUUGACUUCCAAGUUCUUUUCCAUUCCUCUUAGGGCUUGACCUAUCACGUUUUCGGGUUUCAAGGCUUCUAGCUGAGCUUCUUUGAUAUGUGUGAAUAAGUUGGAAUGGAUAGUCAUAGUUAGAGAGUUUACUCGGCAGCCCGAGUACUCUUUUCGACUAAGGGCAUCUGCUACUGCAUUGGAUUUACCGAGAUGAUAGCGAAUUUCGCAUUCGUAAUCAUUCAGUAGUUCCACUCAUCGUCGUUGUCUCAUGUUAAUUUCCUUCUAAGUGAAUAUAUGCUGGAGGCUUUUGUGGUCAGUAAAGACUGCGCAUUUCGUACCCUAUAGGUAAUAUCUCCAAAUUUUCAGAGCAAAAACUACUGCUCCCAAUUCAAGGUCAUGUGUGGUAUACUAGACCCCGUGGUUCUUAAGCUGUCUCGAGGCAUAGGAUAUAACCAUUCCUCGUUGUAUAAGAACGCAGCCUAGCCCUUGCUUGGAUGCAUCACAGUAAACUACAAAAUCUUUCGUCCCUUCUGGGAGGGACAAGAUCGGUGCGAUGCAGAGGGCUUGCUUUAGUGUCUGGAAUGCAGUUUCUUGUUUCUCUUCCCAGUUGAAGGUUAUACCCUUCUGAGUCAGGGUAGUGAGUGGCUAUACGAUCUUUGAGAAGUUUUGGUCGAAUCUUCUGUAAUAGCCAGCAAGACCUAGAAACUGACGAAUCUCUAUUGGGGUUCGUGGGGUUGCCUAGUUUUUAAUAGACUUGAUCUUGGAGGGAUCAACAUAUAUCCCUUCCUUGCUGACUACAUGACCCAAGACUUCUGCCUUCCGGAUCUAGAAUUCACACUUUGAGAACUUCGCGUACAAUUUAUCUGUCCUUAAGGUUUCCAGACUUGUCGUAAGUGUUGGUUAUGAUCUUCCUUACUUUGGGAAUAGGCUAAUAUUGUUGGAAUAGUGUCUAAGGCUGCAACUAUAUUAAGCAAGUAUUUGACCCGGUUGUGCAUGGUCCUUUUGGGUUGCCUUCACCAUAGCAACUUGAUAGGAUGAUUUAUUAUGAGAGAAGGAAUAUUAUUAAUAUAUUAUGAGAAUAAUAUAAGGAAUAAUAAUAUUAUUAUUUGAUUAAUAUAAGUCAUAAAUUAAUUAAGAAUUAAUUUGGUGACUUAAAGAGAUUAAUUGAAUAAUGGGGCAUAAACUGUCAUUUGAUUGAUAGUUGUACAUUGGGCUAUAAAUCCCUUAAGGAUAAGGGGGACGAUUUCUAGGGCUUAGGAUAGGCUUAGAUUUCGUCCAAGGCUUAUCAACUAGGGUAUUGGAUUGCUUAGGGCCUAAGUUAUCCAAUUAGGGUUUAAGGGUGAAACCUUAGGAGCCUCAUUAGUAUAAAUAGACCCUAGGGGUCAAGGGAAAUCGGCACUUGUGCUUUAGAAAGAAACCCUGGCCGAUUUUGAUCCCCUCUUCUCUCUCUCUCAAAUCAUCCUCUUGCUAGUUGGUGUUUGUAAGCCAUUAGAGGAGUGACAAUUGUGACUCUAGAAGCUCCAAGACCUCAAGAUCAACAAGGAACUCAAAGGUAUGAUUCUAGAUCUGUUUUAAUGUUCUUGUUUAACCUAAUUAGUAAUUAGAAGUCUUGGAUUCAAAGCAUGUUUAUUAGAAAGCCUAGAUCCAAGCAUUAGGGUUUUGCAUGCGCACAUAGGAAAGUUCUUAUGGCUAAAACCCAUCAGUGGUAUCAGAGCCUAGCUUGGUUUUCUGUAAAUUGUUGCUUGAUUAACUGAAACAAACCUGCAAAAUUCGAAUUUUUGGUUUCUGAGUCAUGGACUCGGCGAGUCUCAAAGUGGACUCGGCGAGUAGGCCUGACUCGGCGAGUCCAUUUGUGCACUCGGCGAGUCCAGGCGUCAGGAAUGGCCAGAUUCGGGAUUUCUUUGUGUUUAUCUUAUCUUAACUUACCAUAAACUAAUUAGAUCAACAUUAAUUCGUUUUUCUGAUAAAUAUAACUAUUAUCUUGAUCUAGUUAAAGGUAAUUAUCAACUAAUUAAAUAUUUAAUUUCCUUAUAUGAUAAUUAAUUAAUUAUUUUGAUUAUUUUGGUAAUUAUCUUUAAAAGAAAUCUUGAAUAAAUCAAAUAUAGAUAAUUAGGAUAUUAAUUGUUAAUUGGAAUUAUUUGUUAUUUGAUCCUCCAUGUUUUAAAUGUUUAAAACCUACCCUCAUGUUUUGAAAUUUACUUUUGUGAUUAAAAGUUUUAAUUUAGACAACUUAAAUUUCAAACCCUAGAUUUUAAAAGUUUUAAAAUACAACCCUAUACUAAUAUGAUAUUACUAGAAUAAUAUAUAUAUGUAUAACUAAAUGCUAGUCUUACCGUUAGUAGGCCUCAUUCACGAAGCCGAUCUAUAAGGUGGGUAUAAGGUUGCGGCCUAUAAAAUGGCGCUUAAUGGGUGUACACUCACACCCACCGCUUGCUUGAUUGGUGGAGGGUCGUUAGCCGAACGGGUAGGAUAGGGCAACCUCAUCCUCUCAUUAAAAGUAUAAUAAGAAAUAUAAAGUAACUACACAUUUUUUUAAAAUUUCCCAAUCCUAGUUACUUUAGGAAAAGUGAAUUGAUGCAAUCCCAUGAAAUUACACUUUGCACCUUGCUAAGAUGUUAGUGGAGCGUGUGUGGUUUACCGGCACACUAAUUGGUUCUAAGCGAAGGUGGCAAAGGGUGAUUCAUUGUUUAUCAUAGUUCGAUGGAGCGUGUGUGGUUUACCGGCACAUCGAAUAGGUGAUUGUUACAAUGAAGGCACCAUGUGAAUUUGCAUGGUAAUUCACACCCGCUUUGUGAUCCUCGGCAUCCCAGUCACAAACAAGAGGGGCAUAUCGAGAUUUAAACAUGCCAUUGAAUAGUUUCAAUGAAUCUCAUCCGAACCUAGGAAUUCUCAAAAACACUUAGGACUAAUAGUUUAAGUUUUGUGAUGGAGAAUUAGUGAAUCGUCAUUCACUUACCUUCAAUUUAUUUGCAUGUUAGAUUACGGCAUCCCUUUUCUAGUAUGUAAAUGUUAUUGUUGGAUCCUAGCCCUAAUUUUCUUAUUGGGUGAUAAUUAGGGAUUCUUAUUCUAAUCUAUCUUUGUCCUUUUCUAAUUGUAGAUGUCGAACGCAAACAACGCUGCUGCUAGUUCUUUCACGUUGAUGAGCCUUUGCCAAAAGGUCACCUUCGAUGGAACGAACUUUAGCGAAUGGAUAAGAUACAUUCGCACCAUUGCUCGCUAUGAGGAUAAGGAGUAUGUCCUCGAUGAGAAGCUCGAGAAAAUCAACCCCGAAAUUGCUACUCCCGCCGAAAUCACCGCCUUUGAAACUCAUGAGCGAGAUGCAACGAAGGUACAUUGCAUCAUGAUCGCCACCAUGAACUCCGAAUUCCAAAAGUCCUACGAGGACAUGUACCCGUACGAGAUGCAUCAAGACUUAUUGGAGAGGUACCACCAAAACGCGAGACAAGAGAGGUACGAGAUUUUCACUAACAUGAUUUCCGCGAAGAUGGGUCAUGGAGAAUCUCUUACCGUGCACUUGCAAAAGAUGCAAAGGUAUGUUGACCGCCUCCGCAAGUUAAAUGUUGACUUCGGUGAAGACUUGGCGAUCGACAUGGUGCUUCACUCUUUGCCUCCGAUGUACAACCAAUUUAGGAUGACCUACCACAUGAACAAAGAAGAGGUCACCCUAAGCAAGCUCCAAGGUCUCUUGAGGGUUGCUGAGAGCAACUUCAAGGACAAGUCUGUUGCACCUACUCCCAAUCCGCCCGCUGCUCCUGUCUUGGCUAUUGGACAAGGGAAGGGAAAGAAGAGGAAAGCUUCAUCGAAGAACUAUCGCAAGGUGAAAGCCCGAGAUGGUGCCUCUUCUAGUGGGACCAAAGUUGAUCCCGCCAAGCCCUGCUCUAACCCGAAGGAGGCAGAGUGCCACCACUGCCACAAGAUAGGACAUUGGAAGAGAAGCUGCCCGGAUUACCUGCAAGCAAUCAAAGAAGGAAAGAUCAAGCCAUCUUUCGCAGGUAUAUAUACAAUCAAAUCUAACGAUUCUAAUCAUGCUAUUUCUUGGGUUCUUGAUACCGGUUGUGGUUAUCACAUUUGUUCUAAUGUGCAGGGACUAAGAAGAAGUAGGGAUGUGGAGCAAGGAAGGAUCAAUCUAAUCAUGGGGAACAGAAGAUCGUCGCCUGUGACCAAGAUUGGAGUGUAUUCUUUAGUGCUUAGGAAUAGUUUGUGUUUAGAUUUGAACAAUUGUUGCUAUUCGCCAGAAAUGGCUAGAAACAUCAUUUCAUUUCAUGGUUUAUAUAGACAAGGAUUUAGAUUUUCUUUUAAUAAUGAGAAUGGUUCUAUUUUGGCUUAUCUAAAUGGUGUCUUUUACUUUGAAGCUAUACCAUGUAAUGGAAUAUAUGAAACCGUUAUGAUUGUUGAUAACUUAGGAAAUGAUGUUUUGAAUAUUGAUUCUUCCACUAGUAUGGAUAAAGCAUCCUUGUGGCAUUGUCGUCUUGGACAUGUCAACAAGAAACGCAUAGCCCAACUCCAAAAGGAUGGAGUGUUGGAGUCAUUCGACCUUAGGGAAGAUGACACAUGCGAGUCUUGUUUGCUUGGAAAGAUGACUAAGUCACCCUUCACGAGUACAUGUGAAAGGGGCGAGGGUCUAUUGGACCUAAUACAUACCGAUGUAUGUGGACCGUUUAGAUCAACCACGAAGGAUGGGAACCGCUUCUAUGUGACUUUUACCGAUGACUAUAGUAGAUAUGGGUAUAUCUACUUAAUCAAGCAAAAGUCAGACACCUUUGAAAAGUUCAAAGAGUUCAAGAAUGAAGUGGAGAAUCAAUUGGGCAGGAAAAUCAAGAUGCUUCAAUCCGAUCGAGGAGGAGAGUACCUAAGUCUUGAAUUCCACGACUAUCUCAAGGAGUGUGGAAUAGUUUCACAAUUGACGCCACCUAGGACACCGUAGUUGAAUGGUGUGGCAGAAAGGAGUGAUCGAACCUCGUUAGACAUGGUUCACUCUAUGAUGAAUCGUGCUUCACUACCUAUCUCUUUUUGGGGGUAUGCCUUAGAGACUGCCACCCAUAUCCUUAACCGAGUCCCUACUAAGAAGGUUGCCAAAACACCUCACGAGAUGUGGACAGGGAAAGCUCCCUCGUUGGCACAUAUCAAGGUUUGGGGUUGCGAGGCUUUCGUAAGACGAGAUACUCACGACAAGCUUGAACCUCGAAGUGAGCGAUGUAUUUUCAUCGGCUACCCGCAGACAUCCUUUGGAUAUCUCUUCUAUAGACCGAAGGACAAUGUUGUCUUCGUUGCGAGGAGAGGAGUUUUCCGAGAGCGAGAACUCAUAAGCCAAGGAGACAGUGGGAGGCAAAUCGAGCUUGAAGAGAUUCAAGAG
rnacentral:lncRNA from 1 species